CUUCACUUGUCGGAGUGCUCGAACACGUGCGUGUUAAAUAAAGAGCUGAGACCGCGUAGCGGGAUCCGUUGAACCUGAUCAGGCUAAUACCUGCGAAGGGAACAAGAGAAGAUACCAU
rnacentral:ncRNA from 1 species